rnacentral:sRNA from 1 species
CCGAGUGAGGUGCCCAUGCGCCGUAGGCGCAUAUUAAAAUGGCACCGACGAACUGCCGCCGAACGGAAGUGAGGGGACGAUACCAUAA